rnacentral:lncRNA from 1 species
CGUCGGGCUGGAGAGCCGCAGUCCCGGCUGCAGCGCCUGGGAGAAGGCAGACAGUGUGAGGGGGCCUGUGGCCCCAGCGUGCUGUGGCCUCCGGGAGUGGGAAGUGGAGGCAGGAGCCUUCCUUACACUUCGCCAUGAGUUUCCUGAUCGACUCCAGCAUCAUGAUUACCUCCCAGAUACUAUUUUUUGGAUUUGGGUGGCUUUUCUUCAUGCGCCAAUUGUUUAAAGACUAUGAGGACGGGAGGCCAAGGGGCUGGGAUGGCAGGUGCCGUGAACAGCGAGCGCCCAGAGUUGGCCAAAAGCACAGCGGAGGUGCAAAUCCAGAGAAGGCCCGUGUGCUGAGCAAACACACCUGUUGGCUUCUUCACGGCUCUUUCUCAUGCCUGCUAGUUUCUUUGCGGCUCUUUGUGGAAGACGGAAGAGCAAGGUCACGCACCCCAGCACCAGCUCUGUACUUUCUCUUGCCUGGCCUCCAUCUACCCCUCACUCACCACCUUGGGCUUGCACCUUCCAAAUCCAGGAUCCGCAUUCGAACCCUUGCUUCAGGCUCUGCUUUCCAGGUGAUGCAAAGACUCAUGUAAAUGGUUUGAUGGAUGUUGCAGAGACAAAUGCAAGUGCUCAGCCAGGUCUCCAGCUCAAGAAACAUCUCAGGAAGGAGUGAAAAGAGGUCACUGUGAGAGCAAAUCCAGCUGGUGGUUAUGAGAAUGUGGAAUGUGGGGGUGAUGGAGCUCCGCUUCUACUGACUCUUCAGAAGGUUCCCAGGAAUCCACGGAGUCCCAGAGUCUUUAGGAAAAGAAGGAUCUUGUGAGGUCAUGUUGUCCAGUUCUCAUCUGACAGAAAGAAUCCAUUCCACCAUCCUAGAAACCCAAAUACUCAUCAUGAUCAAAAGCACUCCUGAAACCCAGGCGUCUCCACCCUACGGCAUCUUUCUUUCUGUUGUGCUUGAAGUUCUCCCCACUGUCCUCCUGACUCAGUCCCUCCUCAUACGUUAAAGCCAUGGUCACCGGCCUGUCCUUGGUUUCCAUUACCUGGCACACUAUGGCAAAGCCACUGCUCGUGGCCACCAGACAGGUCGAGGCAGGCACUGGGGCCAAUCCCAUUCCUUGCUAUGCCUGAUGCCCUUCCGUGCCUGAUGCCCCUCUGUCAUCUCUUUGUUUGCACAGCUGUGACCUGCAUUGUCUCCACUAACGACAGCGUCCUUAACCCGGACAGUGACCCAGCAAGUGGCAGCCCACGCUCGCCGGCCGGGUCCAAGUUUUAAGUAAAGAAGCCAUUUGUUCCCAGGCUCAUUUUUAUCAAGGCUCGUCUGUCUUUCCAAAUUAGGGCUGAGUCAUUUAUAAAGCAUGUGAGUGUUUGGAUGUUAGCAGCAAACAUUCAUCCAUUUUAGAAUAAAUGAUUAAAAGGCACUCAUUAAAUUCCUCUGUUGACUGAUGCCAAGGCCCCGAGAACGGAUUGGCCUGUUGGCUUCUGGCUGGCCUGACUGCCAUCCCACCUACUGAGAACUCUCGUAGACUCUGGAGAGAAAAUUCCUGCUCGAGGGGACACCCUGAUGGAAGAUAACAGGAAGGAUGGCACUCAGGCCUGUUCCCCCAAUAUUACAGCACAGUUAUCUACCUUCAGAGUGGCCGCACCCAACAGACUCUUGGAAUACAAGAAUUGGCAAGACUCUCCUGUGGCCCCUGCCCUGGAAGGUAGAAGGUAAAAGAUCAUACACAGACAGGUAAACCAACUCCCGAACAGAACUGGGAGCCUCGGACCACAGGCUCUGACCCUUUGCUGGCCAGCAGGUGCAGAGGGAAGGAGCUUCUGCUGUCCUUGCCCCCAGCAAAUGUCCAUCCUCACCACAAGGGAACAAACCAUGCCCAAUGCCUCGUUGGGGGCACUGGCGCCCCUUGAAUGUAUCCUCUCUAGGAUCCUUGGCCCCACCCACCUGUUUGCCAUCUCCAAAGGUCCUUUCUUAAUGUCUUUAAUUUGGAUGGCUCUGACAGCUCCCCACGGCUGGCCUGAGAAAAUCGCACACUCCUCUGCAUGCCAUUUAUCAGGUCACAGCGUGAGUUUCCCGGGCCCUCCUUCCACUAAAAAAACAUUAAAACAUAUAUAUUACAAUGGCAUUGGUAAACAGGAACCUAUUGAUUUAUAUACUGAAAACAUUUUUCCUCAACCUAAAAGUUCAUGUAUUUCGUUUUGAUUUUAAAAGCAAUUAAAACAUUUCGUGAGUCCUGAAAUCACUGUGGGCCCGAGGCACUGAGCCACCAUACCCGAUACUGAAGGGGGUCUAGGUCAGUCCUCUCUGCAGCCGUCCAGCCGCAGGUUCCCCCUGGGAGCUGCCCUUCCAGGCCUCCCUGCCUGUGCUGCUGCUGCUGCUGCUGCUGCUGCUCCUGCUCCUGCUCCUGCUCCUGCUCCUGCACCCUCAAUGCUGCCUCAUCCUUCUCUGCCACGAAACGUCCUACAAAGGUGUUAAGCCCUGGACCUAGUGUGAUGCUCCCAGGCCCUGGAGGCAGCAUCUGUGCAUCUUCUUUGCCCUCUGCCACCACUCUGACCCCCUGCAAGCCCAGACAGACAACGGUGUCUUCCUGACCAGGUGACAGGAUCCUGCAUUCAUCCCACAAACGCCUCCUGGGCACUGCCUGUGGGGAUGCAGGAAGGAUCUAAUAAAUGGCCUGGCCGAUGCUUUGUAUGUUCUGGAGACUCUGAAGUAUUUUGUGUGUGCUGUUUCGGUUCAUCCCACACUGUAAAACCCCGAGGAGGUCCUUCUGAUCGGACAUGAGUCACCACCAGGUACCUCAGUGGGUAAUGACAUCGCUGAGAUGCCCACACAGGCAUUCUAGGUCCAGG